rnacentral:ncRNA from 1 species
ACCCAGGCACGACCUACGGCCUCACCGGUGCCCGGUCCUCAUCGGACCAGUCUACCGGCGUCACGCCCGCGGGACCGACCUGGUGCCCGACCCUGAGGGA